AUUGAACGCUGGCGGCAGGCCUAACACAUGCAAGUCGAGCGAGCGGCGGACGGGUGAGUAAUGUAUGGGGAUCUGCCCGAUAGAGGGGGAUAACUACUGGAAACGGUAGCUAAUACCGCGUACCCUAGGAUGCGCCCAAGUGGGAUUAGGUAUUUGUUGAGGUAAAGGCUGACCAAGCCGACGCUCUCUAGCUGGUCUGAGAGGAUGACCAGCCACACGGGGACUGAGAAACGGCCCCAAUGCCUACGGGAGGCAGAAGUGGGGAAUAUUGCGCAAUGGGGGCAACCUGACGCAGCCAUGCCGCGUGAAUGAAGAAGGCCUUCGGGUUGUAAAGUUCUUUCGGUAGCGAGGCGUUAACUACAGAAGAAGCACCGGCUAACUCCGUGCCAGCAGCCGCGGUAAUUC
rnacentral:rRNA from 1 species